ACUCCUACGGGAGGCAGCAGUGGGGAAUAUUGCACAAUGGGCGCAAGCCUGAUGCAGCAACGCCGCGUGAGUGAUGAAGGCCUUCGGGUCGUAAAGCUCUGUCCUCAAGGAAGAAUAAAUGACGGUACUUGAGGAGGAAGCCCGGCUAACUACGUGCCAGCAGCCGCGGUAAUACGUAGGGGGCAAGCGUUAUCCGGAAUCACUGGGGCGUAAAGGGGUGCGUAGGCGGUUUUCAAGUCAGAAGUGAAAGGCUAUGGCUCAACCAUAGUAAGCUUUUGAAACUGUUAAACUUGAGUGCAGGAGAGGAAAGUGGAAUUCCUAGUGUAGAGGUGAAAUUCGUAGAUAUUAGGAGGAACACCAGUGGCGAAGGCGACUUUCUGGACUGUAACUGACGCUGAGGCACGAAAGCGUGGGAGCGAACAGGAUUAGAUACCCUGGUAGACUGUCA
rnacentral:rRNA from 1 species